rnacentral:rRNA from 1 species
AUUGAACGCUGGCGGCAGGCCUAACACAUGCAAGUCGAGCGAGCGGCGGACGGGUGAGUAAUGUCUGGGAAACUGCCUGUUGGAGGGGGAUAACUACUGGAAACGGUAGCUAAUACCGCAUACCAUCAGAUGUGCCCAGAUGGGAUUAGCUAGUUGGUGGGGUAACGGCUCACCAAGGGGACGAUCCCUAGCCGGUCUGAGAGGAUGACCAGCCACACUGGAACUGAGACACGGUCCAGACUCCGACGGGAGGCAGCAGUGGGGAAUAUUGGACAAUGGGCGAAAGCCUGAUGCAGCCAUGCCGCGUGUGUGAAGAAGGCCUUCGGAUUGUAAAGCACUUUCAGUGGGGAGGCGUUACCCACAGAAGAAGCACCGGCUAACUCCGUGCCAGCAGCCGCGGUAAUUC